CCACCCACACAUUUACGUAAAUGCAGAUGUCAGCAGUUUGUUUUGUUCAAAAAUAAAGCAUGAUGUUCCAGUAGUUUUUCGUCAUUUCAAACCGACGUUUUGCCGUGAAAAAUACGCAUCGAUCCUUGUCAAAAGUAGCUGCACCCGCAGUUGAUAGAUGCCCCUGUUUAAGUCGAGAAAAGUGAGCAAAGACGAAU